rnacentral:lncRNA from 1 species
GGAGAAUGAACGGGCAACCCCUUCUUGAGUGGUGAGGUCAAAACUUCGCUUGCGAUUGUUCUUUCACGAUCAUUAUCUUGGCGUUAGCCGCAGUGCCCCGAGGAUGGUUGGGUAUAUGGCACAUUGCCAGCCGAGGGAUCAGAGGUGAGAUGGUAAGGGUAAGAAUGAAGUGAUGCUGAACAGAACAGCAAGAUGAGUGGGAGCAAGGCAAUCACAUUGAAUGUAAGCUCCAAGGUAGUUGUGGCAACUGCCUUGGGUGCAGGUGUUGUGGUAGGAGCGGGUUUGGCCUAUGUCAUAAGUCGGGUCAAUGAGCACACUCACCUUACCCAGCAAAUAUCCAGUCUUCAUGAAACCAUCUUACAAGUCAGGAGAGAUCUUGCGUCUUUGGAAACUGGUUCAGUCUUCUAGAUUUCUUUGGAUGUUUAUGGGUACUAGGAAUUGCUAGACACCCAUGAGGACCAUGUUGUUGUAGCUAACCCUUUAGGCCUUACUUUUGAUCACAUGUACUUCAGAUAUGCAGGUAACAGGAAUGAUGGUCUAGAUUAUUGUGCUCCUGAGUAAAACAUUUUCAUUUUCUGUCAAGUAAUCAGAGCAGACAUUCUUUUAAUAAUUCAAAUGGCCCCUCUUUGCAAACCUUUAAUGAUGAUAUUAUUCAUGUUUUAU